CGUUGAAAAACCAGUUCCCGUACGAUCACCAAAGUUAAGCAAUAUCGGACCAGUUCAAUACCUAGAUGGCUGACCACUUAGGAAUAUCAGUUGCUGUAA